rnacentral:rRNA from 1 species
AGUGAACGCUGGCGGUAGGCCUAACACAUGCAAGUCGAACGGCAGCACAGGAGAGCUUGCUCUCUGGGUGGCGAGUGGCGGACGGGUGAGGAAUACAUCGGAAUCUACUCUGUCGUGGGGGAUAACGUAGGGAAACUUACGCUCAUACCGCAUACGACCUACGGGUGACAGCAGGGGACCCUCGGGCCUUGCGCGAUUGAAUGAGCCGAUGUCGGAUUAGCUAGUUGGCGGGGUAAAGGCCCACCAAGGCGACGAGCCGUAGCUGGUCUGAGAGGAUGAUCAGCCACACUGGAACUGAGACACGGUCCAGACUCCUACGGGAGGCAGCAGUGGGGAAUAUUGGACAAUGGGCGCAAGCCUGAUCCAGCCAUACCGCGUGGGUGAAGAAGGCCUUCGGGUUGUAAAGCCCUUUUGUUGGGAAAGAAAUCCAGCUGGCUAAUACCCGGUUGGGAUGACGGUACCCAAAGAAUAAGCACCGGCUAACUUCGUGCCAGCAGCCGCGGUAA